rnacentral:rRNA from 1 species
CCUACGGGAGGCAGCAGUGAGGGAUAUUGGUCAAUGGGGGAAACGCUGAACCAGCAACGCCGCGUGAGGGAAGAUGGUUUUCGGAUUGUAAACCUCUUUCCUCUGGGAAGAUAAUGACGGUAGCCGAGGCGGAAGCUCCGUCUAACUACGUGCCAGCAGCCGCGGUACUACGUAGGGAGCAAGCGUUGUCCGGAUUUAGUGGGUGUAACGGGUGCGUAGGCGGACAUGCGAGUCAGAAGUGAAAUCCAUGGGCUUAACCCGUGAACUGCCUUUGAAACUGUAGGGCUUGAGUGAAGUAGAGGCAGGCGGAAUUCGAGGUGUAGCGGUGAAAUGCGUAGAGAUCGGGAGGAACACCAGUGGCGAAGGCGGCCUGCUGGGCUUUAACUGACGCUGAAGCACGAAAGCGUGGGUAGCAAACAGGAUUAGAUACCCUUGUAGUC